UGUUUUUAAUCAGAACGUUCCUGUGGUGAAAUGUAAUUUUCAGUUUGUGUCAGGGCACAUUGAUAAUAGAAAUGUUCUUUUUAUUUUGUGUACUUCUACAUGUUUUAUUGUAUAAAAUGAACACAUUGCUGUUCAGUCCUGCAAGCUCGUGUGACUCCUGUCAGAGUUUUAAAAAUCAGUCUAAAGUCAGUGCAUUUAGAGGAUUAUUGGUGUAUUUUUUAGGUUUACUCAAGCCUUCUUGCGUAUCAUGCUCUGUUUGUUCUGACCGCUAGAUGGUGCAUUAUUUCAGAAAGAAAUUUAUUUAGCUUUCAGGGGCCUCACAAGGUUUUUCUUAGUAAAUGAGCACUGCCUCGAUACACACAAUGAAUUCACAGCACUUGUGUUUGUUGAAUACAAAAAAUAUUUGAUGCAAAGGCACCAAGAUGUAAAUCUAGAUUUAAAAAUAAAGCAACACAAUUCUAAACAUUCUGUCUCAAUUUUAUUGUUCAAUCCACUUAAAUAUGUCAAAUAAAGCUGAUAAAUGUCUGAUUAUUGACUGAGAACAAUAAAAGACUGACUGUUUCAAUCACAUGAAAGAAGAAUAUGAUCGCACUAAAGAGCUGCAGAAGAAGACUGAAGGAAUGAUGGCGAAGUUCAUCAGCAGAAGUGACAGCAUGGACAGUCUCAUCAACUUUACAGAAGAUCCAGAUGGAAAUGCUGUGAUUCCUGAGAAGAAAGACCAGAUCAGGCCGGUUCUGCUGGGAAAACUGGAUCUGGGCAGAAUGGAACAAGAAACAGCAUCAUCAUCAAUGGAAUAUCAUUCAGAAACCAGUGAAAGGAUCAACAAGAAGAUCUCAGUGAUCAACAAUAAACUCAUUGAAGUCCUGUCUGGAUGAUAAUGAGUCUGCCGCCGAUUUCCCACCAAUCAGGAAAACAGGGAAGAUGGUGGAGAAAAACGGAGGAAGUCUUGUGUUCGUUGGUUUUAAUGUUUCAUUCAUUUCUUUAUUUAACCAGGUUAAAAAAAAAAAAACAUCUCUUUGAGAUUAAAAUCUCUUUUGCAAGUGUGACCUGGCCAAGAAGUCAGCAACAAACAACAUAGUAUAUACAAGUUUACAUCAUAACACAAACACAAAUCAAAGAUCACAACAACAAUUCACCAAAGCAUAAAACACACAGCUUUAGAACGCUUUGUAGAUUAUUCCAAGCCAAAAUAGCAUUAUAUCCAAAACCCUUUUUCCCUAGCUCUGUUUGAACCAGAGGAACUUUAAAAUAUAUCAGAUCGUUUGAGCGUAGUUUGUAGCAUACCUUUGGUUUAGAAAAACUCAGAGACAGAUAAGAUGGAGUUAGACCACAAUUAGACUUAUAAAUAAAACAAUACAAUUAGAACUUCUCUGGGUAUAC
ensembl:lncRNA